rnacentral:rRNA from 1 species
GAGUUUGAUCGUGGCUCAGAAUCAACGCUGGCGGCGCGCUUAACACAUGCAAGUCGAACGAGAAAGUCCGCAAGGAUGAGUACAGUGGCGUACGGGUGAGUAACACGUGGGUCAUCUACCUCUGGGUGGGGAAUAACCCUGGGAAACCGGGGCUAAUACCGCAUAAUACUGUGAGGUUAAAGGCGCAAGUCGCCUGGAGAGGAGCCCGCGGCUGAUUAGCUAGUUGGUAGGGUAAAGGCCUACCAAGGCGGAGAUCGGUAGCCGGCCUGAGAGGGCACACGGCCACACUGGCACUGAAACACGGGCCAGACUCCUACGGGAGGCAGCAGUGGGGAAUCUUGCACAAUGGGGGGCAACCCUGAUGCAGCGACGCCGCGUGAGCGAUGAAGCCCUUCGGGGUGUAAAGCUCUUUCGGCAGGAACGAUGAUGACGGUACCUGAAGAAGAAGCUGCGGCUAAACUACGUGCCAGCAGCCGCCGCGGU